GACAGAAUCCCAAGCAGAUUCCCUGCUGAGCAUGGAGCUUGACAUGGGGCUCGAUCUCAAGACCCUGAGACUAUGACCUGAGCCAAAACCAAGAGUUGGACACUUAACCAACCGAGUCACCCAGGUGCCCCAACCCUGUGUUUCUAAACUGAUUUGGAUGUCCCCCUAUCUCCCCAGAUGUGUCUACACUGAUAGAGGAUGUUUCUCAUAUUCCCUGGUAUGCCUGCUCUUACUUGGAUGUCUAACUCCUCAGGUGUAACUACAACGACCUGAGAUGGCUCCAUAAUAACCCAGGCAUGUCUACUCUGGCCUGUGAUGUCCCAGCAGUACCUAAGGUUUGUCUUACCCUGACCAGAGAUAUCUCCCUGGUUUCCCCAGCAUGAAGAAUGUGGUCUACGAUGUCUCAUUAUUGCCAAGGUGUGUCUACACUGACCUGGGCACUCCCCUAAGUUCCCAGGAGUCAACCUAAGAAGUCAACCUAAGACCUGGGAAUUUUCCCUGAGGAGCUAGGUGUGACUAUUCGGUGUCUUCCCAAUUCCUGAGAUGCAUCUAAACUGACGUGGAUUGUUUCACGAAUUCCUCAGAUGUGUCUACCAAAAAUGGCAUGUUUUCCUAAUAUACCAGUAAUGUCCACCCUGACGUCUCCCUUGUCACUCUGGAUUGUCUAACAGGACCAGGAUGUCUAAUCCCAUGCGGAGUCUGUGACCUGGAAGGACACUCUGACUUGGGAUGUCCCUGUCUGUUGUGCAUUUGGGUGUCUCCCUGCUGCAGAGUCUUCAGUGCUUUUCAGCAGCCACUGACUAAUUAAACCACCUCUAUUCCAUAUGAACUGAACAACAAAAUUACCUGAGCAAGAAUUAUCAGAUUCCCAUUCACGACCUUCAGAUGUCCACAGAAGAAGGAUCAUGUGACAACUAAGAGCAAUGCUCAAUAGUCGGCCACUCUCAGUUCAACUGAGACUACGAUCAAAAGCUCCGUCAUCCCGGUCCUGCAGGAAACACACCAGAGGUUCAAAGGAGACGCCGCGUGAAAGAAGGGGCUCCUUAGGGAGGGUCCACACAGGAGGCAGGAGACCCAGAGAGGAGCCACGGGGAGCUGUUUCCACCCCUGGCCUGCAGAGCAGGGAGGGGAUGGUGCUGCUGGGUCCUGGGGGGGGGGGUCACAGUCCCCAGCAGGGAGGACCCCAGCCUCUCUCCCCGCACCCCGUCUCCUGGGAGCUGCCCCUGGUGCAGCCUGAACACAAGGCCUGAGGCCAGGAACCCGGACGACAGGGCCCCCAGGUCAUGGCGCGGGGAUGGAAUAGGGUGGACGCGGUGCAGCGUGGAUCUGGAGGGCGGCAGAGGGCGUCCUGUAGGCGGCCCGAGCUCUCACCCGAGAAUGCGGAUACCUGGAUGCUCCUCACAGUCGGGGUCUUGGCGAUGCUGGACCCCGUCCACCUGGCGAUGAUCAGCGACCCCUCCGAGGGGGCGCACGCGCUCCGGUCCCCACAGCCCCGCCUGGACGCCUCCUCCGUGUCUCCUGACGGCCCUCUGCCCUCUGACUCUGGUCCAGACCCCGCACGGUGGCAGCACGUUGAAGAGCCACGCGGCACAGACAGACUCUCCUCACACUGCCCUGGUUCCACUGAGACCAGCAAUAAAGAGUGAAAGCAAACAUAAAUCUGCCCGCAGAAAACUAAUAAGAAAAGGGGUUUAGUGCCUUUGGCAAAAGGAGCCCAGAAAUGCAAUAAUUUUUUUCCCUUAACAUCACAUCCACAGGCUUUUGUGAAGUAUUUGUUCAGCUCCCAAAAUGAGCAAUUAUGAGAGAUUGCUGUUUGAGUGAAAAGCCUCUGGUCUGCAGAGGAAUUUAAUUUUGGAAAGUCCAGAUCUGCAGACCCGGGCCGUGGCUGCUUUCCAGGGGCGGGAGGCUGGCCCCCAGGCAGAGCCGGGGUCAGGGGAGGGACCCUGCUGCAGAGCUGACCCUGCCGGCAGGCUCACCCCCCGCCCCAGGCGCAUGUGGCCGUGAUGUCCCCCAAGGCCGUGGUGUCCCCCGACGCUGGGGAGGCCCCAUGGGGUCGCUUCCACCUCGCAGCUGCCCUCACACGGAGUACAAGCCCCUCCUGAACCCCCUGCUCUCAGGGCCUUCGGGCAAACCCCCGGAGUGGGCCCGCCGGGUCACACGUGUUUCCCAGUUUGUCUUCCCGCGACUUCCCUGCUGUUCCCGUGGUGGACGCGCCGUCUCACACGCCCCCCCCGGCAAUGCGCCCACGGCUUCCAGCUCCCACGGCCUCACCACGCAGCCCCUGGGUCCUGACCACAGCGCUGCUCAUGGCUGUGGAGCCCGGUGACCGUCCCGUGCGUUCCCCUGGGCAGGAGGGACGUCGAAUAGCUUGUCGUGUGCUAACCGGCCAAUUGUGGGUCUUCUCUGAAGACAGAGCUCUUCCGGUUCUCUGCCCAUUUCUUAACUGGAUCGUUCUGUUGCUGCGCUGUGGGUGUUUGUAGAUGUUCUGGGCAUUAAUCCCUUAUCGGGUAUAUGAAGAUCUUUCCUCCCAUUCUGUGGGCUGUCUUUUAACUCCCUUGAUGGAGUCCUCUGAUGCCCCCAAAGUUUUCAU